rnacentral:tRNA from 1 species
UGUUCUGUGGCUUAGUUGGUUAAAGCGCCGGUCUAAUGAAUACGUGGGUUCGAAUCCCACCAGAACGC